UACAGCCAUAUCACAUUGAAACACCAGUUCCGGUACGAUCACUGAAGUUAAUCAACAUUGAAUCUGGUCAGUACCAAAAUAAGUGACCACUUGGGAAUACCAGGUACUGUAAG